AUGUACUGCCAAUUAAGUAUGUUCACUCUCUACACACAGUUCUGCCCCCAACCCAGGGUUUUCCAAACUUGGUCCACGGUUUAUUUGGUUUUGUUGCCCCGAGCCACUAACAAGCUGACUCAAAUGAUCAAAACGCUUGUCCCACCCAUUAAGUUGUUCACUGUCGAACACACAAGUUCUGCCCCUAACCCAGGGUUCCCAAAACAGGCUUAUACAAUUUACAUGACUCACGCGACCAUGUAUCUACAGAAGAGACCGUCUAAAACAACACUGUUCUCUGUCUGCAGGCUUGGUAUCUACAGAGAGGACCGUCUGAAAACAAACCGGUUCUCGUUGCGGUGGGGUACAUGGUAUCUACAGAAGAGACCGUCUGAAACAACACUGUUCUCUGUCUGCGGGUACAUGGUAUCUACAGAAGGGACCGUCUGAAAA
rnacentral:lncRNA from 1 species